rnacentral:rRNA from 1 species
AACGAACGCUGGCGGCGUGCCUAACACAUGCAAGUCGCGCGCGAAAGUCUUCGGAUGAGUAGAGCGGCGCACGGGUGAGUAACACGUAGGUAAUCUUCCUUCAGGCCCGGAAUAACCCAGGGAAACUUGGGCUAAUACCGGAUAACACUGCGCUUCGAAAGUUGUGCAGGAAAAGCGGGGGACCUCUUCGGAGGCCUUGCACCAGAAGAUGAGCCUGCGUCCCAUCAGCAGUUGGCGGGGUAAUGGCCCACCAAGGCUAAGACGGGUAGCUGGUCUGAGAGGAUGAUCAGCCACACUGGAACUGAGACACGGUCCAGACUCCUACGGGAGGCAGCAGUGGGGAAUCUUGCGCAAUGGGGGAAACCCUGACGCAGCAACGCCGCGUGAGUGAUGAAGGUCUUCGGAUCGUAAAGCUCUGUCGGUGGGAACGAUGGUUUGGCUGUCUAACAAACAGCUAAAUUGACGGUACCCA